rnacentral:tRNA from 2 species
GCGAAAGUGGCGGAAUUGGUAGACGCCCUGGAUUUAGGUUCCAGUGACCUUGUGUCGUGCGGGUUCGAAUCCCGCCUUUCGCACCA